GGUUUUCUGGCCGAGUUGGUCUAAGGCACCAAGAUAAGGUCCUGGUCUUUCCGGAGGCACAAGUUCGAAUCUCGUGGAAAUCA
rnacentral:tRNA from 1 species